UACUGGUGCUGAACACAGCUCUGGAUCAGGUGCAAAUGAGCACGGCUCUUGCUUGCCACACAGUUACACAUUUCAGGACCAUCCAGCAGAGCAGAAGUGCUUGAUCUCAGGCUCCUGUGAGCAGGGGCUAUCUCCCUAAAUCCUAUAUAGAGCCUAAAUUGGAUGAAGAAAAUACAAGAGCAGAUACAUGCCAAAGAUCUCAAAAUGGAAGUUUUGCCUCUGAAAAUAUGGACUGGGAAAAGAAAACUAAGCAUGUAGGAAAGUUAAAACCUCCAAACAAAUAUGUUGUUCUGUCAACUUGGACUUCUUGUAAACCAUCAGAUGUUGCCAGUUUUAUGGCAAAGGGAGAAAGAAGGAGGAAAUACACCCGUCUGGGGACAUGUACUGCACUGACUCAUUAAUGGAGACUGGUGUAUAUCCCACCAGUAUACAGAACAAAAGAAUGAUUCUCGGCCUGGUACUAAUUUUUAUUUUCCCUCAAUUCCACUCCUGAACUGAAAAAUUAGUUUGUAGAGUUCUGGCCACAAACAUUGUGCUAUCCUAUAUAUACAUACCCAAAAGAUUUUCUUCUACAAAGUUAACCUCAUUCCUAUAAAAUAGUUUAUUAAUAGGUGGACGGCUUGAAACAUCUUUAUAAGUUUGUCUGUUACUCAGUUAAAGGCAGAGUUCAUGAACUUGUGCACCAUCCUGCCUAUAUUACAUCCAUGUCAUUUUCUCCAAAAAUUUAUAAACAUAUAUAUCUGGUGCACUUAGUAUUUUGGAAUCAAAGCCUACAUUAAAUCUCAAGAGGUGAAAGACUCAUACGUUUGAUCUACUGCAUAAUUUGGCACUGGAUUUACCUUUUCAGUCCCCUGUGCAGUCCCCAUACACCCCAAGAUGUAUGUGAUUUAGUCAAAAACAAUUACCAAGCUUAAGACAGAGUCAGCAUGGGGAGGUUCUGUGGUUGGUAGUAGACAAUCAGGAGAGGCAAACUAUUGACUUCUACCACUAGCAAAUCUGUAUUUCUGAAAAAGUAUUAUGUUUUGACUACACCUGUUGGUAUGAGGGAGAAUCCAGAGGUGCAAACAAACCAAAACACAAUAAACCAGCUUUAGUCAGCUAAUUAAAACAACUUUAGCUCAUACACUAGUGAAUUCUUGACUCAUACAUAAAGUCCAAAGCAGAAGUUUUGCCUGAAUAUUAAAAUAAUUUUGUAAGGAAUUUAAUUGAUACAAGUGUGGAAACUAAACAUGCUGCAAAUUAUCACAUUGUGGAGUAUAUCAUGGCUUGCAGCAAAAGGUAAGCACAGUAAUGUUCACAUGGCCAGAGCACCAAUUUAUGUCCAAAUUCAGCAGAGAACUCCAUGCAACACUAAAACUUUGGAUAGUGCUAAACGCACAAGUCAAAGAAAAUAGUAAUCUUUUUCCCUGUUGCUUUUUAGAGUGUAGUUUGCUUCAACAUAUUUGCAUUCUGCUUGGAUCUCCCAAGUUAGCCCCAGGGAAGCCCGAGGAUCACACCUUCAGGGAUUUGCAGCUAAGACAGGAGUGGGCUGCUCUUCCUCUUUGUUGCCAUGGCUCCUGAAAAAUAAUUGGCAUGUUAUCACAAAUGGUGACUUUCAGCAGCUGUGGCAUGCGAGGAUUAUAGUCUUAGCAGAUAUAUCAGUUCCCCGACUGACAUUUUCAAGAGAGCUUCAUGGUGCAUGAGCAAUAUUGAAAUGUGGCCUCAGGGAUAAGAGAAAAGCCUCAUAUUUUCAUCUGGAGUGUCAAAACUACUUCUGGCAUGUAAGAGAGCAGGGACUUGGCUUUCAGAUCACUUCUUUUUCCUGAACUAGGAUACCUAGUGAUCACUGCUGAUAUCUGCCAUGAGUUCAGUUACUCAAGUGAAUAAAGAAUUUGUUAAUGGCUCUGCUUUGCAGUGGAAAAUUUUGCUGAUUGUUCCACAAUUGGUCGCAACGCUGUUACUAUUUUGAUCCAAUAUGGUAAUUAUUCAAAACUCAGUCAUCAAUGUAUAAUUUAUGUGGGCUUCUUGGAAAUGAUAAAUUUUAUUUUAACAAAAUUUCAGAGUGAAAAAUCAUGAAAGAAUAAGCUGUCUAUCUGAAGCCCAGAUAAGAACAUAAUGCAAAAAAUAAUUCAAGUCAUAUGUCCAUUUUAUUCUCCAGUCUUUUAGUUUAGAUUUUGGGGUGAUUUUUUUCUAAUUGUGAAUUCUUUGGAACUAGGGUCAUACUAUGUGCCUGCAUAUUCUGAAAUUAUUCUUAUAGUAGCUAAACUUGAAUUUGAGUCUUGGCUAGAUUUUCAGGAAAACCUAUCAGCCCCAAUCUCUGUGUUAGAGAGUUCU